rnacentral:rRNA from 1 species
AUCACUACGCUAGAUGCAUAUCAAUAAGCGGAGGAAAAGAAACUAACAAGGAUUCCCUUAGUAACGGCGAGGUGAAGCGGGAAGAGCUCAAAUUUGAAAUCUUCAAGGGUUCUACCUUUACGAAUUGUAGUUUAUAGAAGUGUUUUCUGUUAGUAGAGUUCGGCUAAAAGUUCUUUGGAAUAGGACAUCAUAGAGGGUGAGAAUCCCGUAUUUGAUCGUUACUUUCCAGCUGUGUGAUACACUUUCAAAGAGUCGGAUUGUUUGGGAAUGCAGUCCAAAAUGGGUGGUAAAUUUCAUCUAAAGCUAAAUAUUGGCGAGAGACCGAUAGCGAACAAGUACCGUGAGGGAAAGAUGAAAAGAACUUUGAAAAGAGAGUUAAACAGUACGUGAAAUUGUCAAAAGGGAAGCGUUUGACACCAGUGUUGUUUAGUUGAAAAUCAAUUCAAUAUUUUUCGAUUUUAAGUAGUAUUGACUUCAUCAGCUUGCUGCUUUCUUUUCAGGAAUUAUUGAAUGCACUUUUCAGUUAACAAGUCAACAUCAAUUUCUUUUGUUGUAAAAGGGUAAGAGGAAGGUGGCUUACGCUUCGGCGUAAGUGUUUAUAGCCUUUUACCUCUGCAAUCGGAGAGAUUGAGGACAGCAGCGUAGACUCUUCGGGGUUAGAUACACUUGUGCUAAGCUAUAGCCUUGUAUAGACAACUUGUUGACUAUGCUCAGUCAUGUAGCUUACUCGCUUGUGCUAUUUUACCUACGCUUAGGAUGUUGACACACGCGCGUGCUCG